CGCUAUUCAAUCUUCAGUCAAAUGAAGGGUUUUGGAUAUUGGAGGGUAGAAAUAGCAAAAAAUUGCAGAAAUAUAAGAUUUUUUGGAUGAUCCUUUAACUUUUGAUUCUCGCUUACCCCAUGGUAGAACUUCAAGGCAAAACUUAAAGUGUUACCCGUGAGCAAACGAGAGUAACACUUGUUAGAUAACAAUUCAAAACAGACACUUAUAACAAUAAUAACAAUCCAGUAUAAUUCCACAUAUUGAAUUUUGGAGAGGGUAGUAUGUGUGUACGCAGACCUUACCCCUACUUUGGGGUAGAGAGGCUGUUUCCAAAUAGACCCCCGGCAUCCUUCCCUCCAAGAACUUCCCACCUUGCUCUUGGGUAGACUCGAACUCACAACCUCUCGGUUGGAAGUGGGGGUUGCUUACCAUCAGAGCAAUCCCUCUAAAUAGACCCCCGGCAUCCUUCCCUCCAAGAACUUCCCACCUUGCUUUUGGGGAGACUCGAACUCACAACCUCUCGAUUGAAAAUGAGAGUUGCUUACCAUCAGAGCAACCCCUCUUGUCUAAGACAGACACACUUAGAGGGUUAUUAAUAUACUUCACCCUCCAAAUAGCCGUGUUCCAACUAAUAGGAGAUCUUGAUCUCAACAUCAAUCCAUAAAAGACACGAUCAAGAACAGUUUAUUCUCACAAUACGUAAAUUAUAACAAUAUAAAAGGAUUUUGAAAAAAGGAAAACAAGUACAUCAGUUAUUGAGAAAGCUUAUGACAAGUCUCAUUAUAGAAAGCUAGCUAGAUUUAUUCCCACAAAAAGAUGUAGAAAUUUCAUAAGAUAUUCAUUUGGGAGCAGUGGCAGCUAGGAGUCGACGUUUGAAAUAACCAAGCAACAUUUCCCUAUUAGGCAUAUUUUCCUUGACUUGGCUGCAGUUAAGGUACUCCUCUCUCCACGUACAAAAAUGGGGAAACUUUUCACUGGUUAUGCUAUUAGGCAUAUUUUCCUUGACUUGGCUGCAGUUAAGGUACUCCUCUCUCCACGUACAAAAAUGGGGAAACAUUUCACUACUCACCAACACUACUCCAGUAGCUUCUUCAACAAUUCCUACCCAAAAUCCGACAAAAUUGGCUGCUAUGUCAACAAAUCCAAUUGUUUCUCCGCCAAACAACUUG
rnacentral:lncRNA from 1 species